AUUGAACGCUGGCGGCAGGCCUAACACAUGCAAGUCGAACGGUAGCACAGAGAGCUUGCUCUCGGGUGACGAGUGGCGGACGGGUGAGUAAUGUCUGGGAAACUGCCCGAUGGAGGGGGAUAACUACUGGAAACGGUAGCUAAUACCGCAUAACGUCGCAAGACCAAAGUGGGGGACCUUCGGGCCUCACACCAUCGGAUGUGCCCAGAUGGGAUUAGCUAGUAGGUGGGGUAACGGCUCACCUAGGCGACGAUCCCUAGCUGGUCUGAGAGGAUGACCAGCCACACUGGAACUGAGACACGGUCCAGACUCCUACGGGAGGCAGCAGUGGGGAAUAUUGCACAAUGGGCGCAAGCCUGAUGCAGCCAUGCCGCGUGUAUGAAGAAGGCCUUCGGGUUGUAAAGUACUUUCAGCGAGGAGGAAGGCAUUAAGGUUAAUAACCUUAAUGAUUGACGUUACUCGCAGAAGAAGCACCGGCUAACUCCGUGCCAGCCGCCGCUGUAA
rnacentral:rRNA from 1 species